AGUGAGGUGCUGCACAUAUUUUUGUGUGCAGACCGCACAAAGGAGAGUUUUGUUACCUUUUAAAAUCCAGUGGUUAGUGUUUUCUACAGAGAAGCUCCUAGAAGCACGGGAACGUGCACUUGCAGGGGGGUCCUCCCCGCAGUCCCAGCGCUGGGCUCUGUGUGGCUCAAGUGAUGGCUGACAGCGACCUAGAGAAUUAGUUUUUUUGUGUGCUUACUUUCUUAGCAGACAUAGAAAUAGCACACUGGGUGUGGAUAAGCAACCCGAACCAACCCUCUGCUACAUUUUAAGUUCACUGGAGAAACACGCUGUUAAAUUUAUGGGUUCAGGAGAGCCCAGUGGUGCUGCUCUCCGAGAAGUGGAGUGAAUGGCCCCCAGUUCCCAUUGCUAAUGGUCAUCCCCAGGCGAGGAGCCCGAGGGUCAUUCCUGAAGGGAUUCUUGAACUUCGGUACUUCCUCUAUGGAGAUACCUGCCUGGGUUUUCUGGCCUGGGAAUAUCUGGAUUGGAUUUUUAUUUUAAUCAGCCGUAAAUUGUUUAUAGAUCCCAUUGUUCCUCAGUGGAAGUGACUGAACGGGGAAGGUGGAAGCUCACCUUGGGUGCCCCCCGCCACACGUCCUGGGAAGGCCCGGGGCUGAGCCGCCCCUCCACCUUUUCCCAUCCCAGCUUCUCCUUCCUGGGCUUGCUUUUGUUGCUCACCACCACAUGCUGCAGCAGUCGGCAGUUUUCUUAGAUGAUAGACAUUUUUUUUUUUCCUACGUCCAUUGUGCCUUUCUGAAAUUUUGCGCCAACAUGAGCAAGAAUUUGUCUUCCGUUUUGGGAGGGAAAAAAGUCAAGGAUCAAUUACUUUGUUGUAGAUUUUACCAUUUCUUAUUUCCUCUGCAAAAUCUAACGCAGGGUUCCCUUAUUCUUGUGAUCAGGGUGCUUUCUGCAGGAAGACAGCCAAGUGGAAUCCCUGCAAGCUCCCUGUCACAGGGCUCCUGCUGCCCUGGGCUUCUGCUCCCAGCAGGGCCGGCGCUUCCCUCCACAUCCAGGAUCUGAUGUGCCUUUUCGAUUUGAAAUCCAGGCAUGUCUGCCUCAGCUUGCUGGCUGCGGUUUUAAAAGGUGUUUGCUACAGCUCCUUUCUGGAGAAAAUUAGUAUAUGGUAAAUAUAGGUCAAGUGCAUCCAUGCUUAUCAGACCUCUGAAGCUGCUGGAAGGGGUGGGUAGACAGGAGAGAGGGAUGGUCAGGGACUGAACCAAGUUUUAGGAAAUUUGGUUGUAAAAAAUAUCCUCAGUUUUUAGUUAAAAGUAAAGUGCAUCUUCAGCAAGAUCAUAUGAUGAAAUAAAUUAAAUCAGCGGUGAAGGUCAGUACACACUCUGACUUGGGAAUGUGAACUUUUCAGAAACCUGUAUUUAUUACAUUUUACUAUUUUUAAAAGCCAGCUGCAAGAUUCAUAGCAAGAAAUGGUACGACAUACCAAUGAACGCCUCACAGAAGUGAAGGCUCUUUUCAAAGUGGUUAAUAUGCCUUAUUGGCGAGUCAUCCCAUGCCUGUGUCAUUGUUACAGCUCAGCUUUAAAAUAUAUGGAUUUAAAACGCAAGAAUUGUGACUAAUAUUUAUUUCAAGUACAGAAUGUGUCACAGCAGUGGGGCAUCCUAUUAUUAAUGCAGUAAACUGUGUAAUACUCUGUAAGAGCCGUCCCUGCUGUAGUUCUUAGCUGCAUGAGAAUAACUGUAAAACACGCCUCUCUUUUCCUGCUAUGCUUUAUUGUUACCUGGGAAAGAACUGGCAUGGAGAAAAGCCAAAUAUGGGCAAAUAAUAUGACCAUAAACAACACCUGAGCAUUGCUCUGCUGGAUGUAAAUCUCCUUGAGCAGCCCAAACUUAGAUAAUGUAUGUGUGUGUGCGCAUACGUGUAUGUGUAUAUGCACGCACACAAACACACGCACUAUACCUACAUACAUAUACGUUUUAUAUAUCUAAUAUAUAUGUGUGUAUAUAUAUCCUUAACAAUUUUAAAAGGGAGGGAAUCUGCUAUGACUCUAAAGGUGGUAGGAAGUAAGCGUCUACUAGACCUUCCUGCCAGCCAGGAGGUCAUUCCUGUAGUCAGUGUUCAGUGCAUCGUAUAUGAAACACAAUAACCUCAUCGGAACCAGCACAUGGGGGCUGGGGGAGCAGUGGGUGAGGUCUACUUUGUGGCUGUGCAGCUUGUGUGGCCGGGUGAGGGGGCACUACAGCAGGGACGGCUCUUACAGAGUAUUACACAGUUUACUGCAUUAAUAAUAGGAUCUUUGCAGUAGCGAAGUUUCCUGACUUUUUUCAGCAGGUAUUGAACUUGUAGUAUUUGUCAGCUUAAAAUCUACAAUCAGAAUCUUUUUAGAGAAAGGAAACACAGUCUCGUACCUAGGUGAGGUCAGGCAGGCGGAGGUGUCUGUGAGCUUGUCCUCUGACCCCACUUCAUUACUGGGCAAUCAGUGCCUGGGAAGCUCCCGGACAUUCAGGAAGAUGCUCCCCCUCCCUUCCCCCUUCUCAUCCUGCACUGAGCUGGGGAAGCUGGGUGAGGGCUCCAUGGCCCAGCGCCUGCCCCUCUGGAGCCCAGGUCAGUGCUGAGAUCCCCAGGCCGCCUGGGUCUCCUUCACCCUGCUCUUCUGAGAUGUGGAGAUGAGGUGUUAGCCGUCUUUCUAGGUAGGCUGUGACUAAACCCAGCGCUCCAUACUCUCCCAACUGCUCCCUACCUUUUUACUUUUGUGGAGACACAUGAAUCUGGUAGGUGUCUGUGUACCAGGGUACCUGGUCCCAAGGUUCUCCAGCGAUUUUCUGAAAGUAGAAUCUUGUUGUGCUGUUUGGCUAAAUUUCUGGGAGUAACUGGCUGAAGGCAUUAGACUGCAGAGAGUCUGGCUUAUUCUCAGAGGGGUUCUGCAAAUUAAUCACCCUGUGAGCUAAAUUUGUUUAUAGACAUAUUUGGAAUGGAGGAGCCCCACAUGGGACACAUUCUCUUCAUUUGUUCUGUGGAGCACCUGCUCAGAGUAUUAUGUAGCAGGCUCUGCCGCCCCCCCCCAGUUCUGCAGUACCUGAUAUCUCAUGAUGGGGUGAGGGUGACGAGGAAGAUAAUAACAUCGAUUCCCUGCUCUUCCUCUUGGGAGUCCAAAGCACUCAGUUAUCUCAAUGCAAGUGGAGGCGGUACAGGGAUUUAGGGAUCCACAGACACUGUAUGUGUGUGUGUGUGUGUGUGUACAUACACACACGUAUAUGUAUAUAUAAAUUUGUUUGUUUCUAUAGCAAUUGCUUCUUAAAAAUAAUUUAGUAGUUUAAUACAAAAGCGGUAGCUGGGUUUUUAUGUGCUCGUAGAGGGAAGAUUUUUUUUAGUUUCACACAUGUUCAGUUUUAAUGGGUAGUAAUUACAUCUUUGUGUUUUGAUGUCAGGCUGGUUGUGAGGCCUAAUUCUGCAGGCGGUCUUCUCGCUGACUUGCUCAUGACUGCAGUCAUGGAGGGAGGGAGUUGCCGGCCAGGGUCCCCUCUGUUUUUAAGACAAGCCAAGCCUUGAGAGGUGCCUCGGUUCCAUUUCCCUGCGACACACACGCUUGCUCUCCUGGCCUCCCUUUGCAAGCCCUGGAGUUGAAUGUACAUAUGGUGUUGUGGCGAGGUUUUUUUCUGAAAGGCAGAUUCCUUUAAAGAAAAAAUUGUCCCCACUUCCCCACCCUCCGACUUCUUUCUCGGCGUCCCUUUCCCACCUCCUCGCUCCGGUUCGUGGUUUGCAGGCCUGAUUCUCUGCAGCACUGGCCCUGCAUGUGCAGGAAAGGCAGUAAAAAUGAGCGCUAAUCAAUCUUUCAGAGAGAAGCAAUGGGCAUUAGAAGGCCACUACCCUGUGACUAAACACACCCCCUUUAUGGAGUGUUGGUACUAAUAAAGGACAGCUUAUUACUGAGGCAGACACCAAAGCCUGGAUGAGGUCAACCAUGACUGACAGUCAUCAGUCACUCUUAAUGGUACUUUUUCCCGUGCUUUCUAAGGGAUUCUGAGCAGAGUGCAAAUCAUCCGGGGUCAUUCAUAGUUCAUGUACCCACAGAUGGCAAAGGUUUUGAAAGACUUCGGUUUAAACUUGUUAAAAAAAAAAAAAAAAAAGAUCCUCACUUUUUUUUUUUUUCAAGGAAGGGAAAAUACCCCAAAACAAAACAUAGAUUCUUCUUAUUGGAACGUUUUCAUGUUCUUUCAACCUAAUAGAUGUUUUACACACUACGGUGCUUGUGCAUUAUUAAAAGAGACAUAAAUUUAUGUUUUAUGACGUCUGUCUUCUUUAAUUAUUACCUUUGAUGUCUAUUGGUGACUAAAGAGAGCUUAACAGGAUUUCUUUCUCUUCUUAAAUUUCGCAUCGUGAAACCCAGCUAGUCCCUGACAGAUGUCUAUUCCUCACCUUCAGGAUUAUUUUAAAAUCCCUUUCUGAUGAGCGGAAGUGUCAAAUCAAGGACAGGUCAUAAAGUAAAAGUAUAAACCUUUUAAAGAGAGACCUUGGUAAUAUAUAAACAUUCUGCACACUAUCUGAAUUUUUUAUGGACUAAAGAAAAAUUAUAUUUCAGCUGGAGGAAGGGAGAAGUUUCAACAUCGGCCGGUGUUUCAGCCUAUGACUUCCCCAUGCUCUUAUUUAUGGCCAUCUAGGAAGCCGUUGGCUUUCCUGGCUGUUUUAAACAUUCUGACUUGAUUUGGAGCCUGCCUGCUAAUUGCUGGGGUUUACAUCCGAGGGUUGACUGGUUAUCGAUUCUGGAGUGCCGUGUGGUAAAUGGGGCACAGCGGAUGUGGGGUGCAGGCCGGGGUCUUUGUUUAAUCACUGUUUUUUCCUCCCUCUCCCAAGCCUCAGUUUGCUUCAUGGAAGAUGAAAGGUUUAUAUGGAGAGAAUUUCAAAGGCGCUAUUCCUGUUCCCACAACAGGGUGUUCAUGGAACCCACCACGCAGCACCCCAGAUUGGAGGAGGCGACGAAUGUGACGCAACAGCUCUGCUGUUAAAAAAUUACUUUUUUAAAAAAGCUUGUUAUGCUCAGAUAAUUUGCUUUUGGUAAACUUGGGUUUAUCUUUACUUAUCAAGUCGGAAGUCAGGUGAAGUCCACAACUUCAGGGCCUUUCUGCUGUUUUGAUGUUGAAGCAUACAAAGACCCAGACAUGGCACAGGGACUUCUUGGGUGCACACAUGGACACUGGCAGGUGCGUAGGCUUGGGAAAUGCCUCGUGGGUCCAUGCUCGUUUUCAAUCAUGGGACAAUAGAUUAGAAACUUUCCUAUAGUUUUUUAAAAAAAAUAAAAAUUUUAAUUUCAGCAAGCUUCUUUGGCCAUCUACCAUGUACAAGCCAGGCAUGGCCCUUGGUGAGUGGCACCGUGUGCUCACAGGGAUGGUGGAAAAGUGGCUUCUGUGGAGGCCGAUGGUGCACAUUUGUGUUGUGAGGGUCUGGCCAUGAGUUGGUGCGUAUUUUUGUUCUCUUGCCCCGCCACCUGAGCAUGUCCCGUGGAACCCCAGAAGUUGCCACACAGCUCAGCACCAGAGGCAGCUCAUCGGCAGCAGUCCUGGUGACAGCAGAUACACCCGUCUCCUGUGGGGCCAGGCUUGGGAAGCCGAGGUGGGUUGACUGGAGUGCACCAUGCCCAGAGCACGUGGCACUUAACCUGAGACUCACCUGGCGGUGGUUUCACUUAAUGCUAUUUAGAUGAAGAGUGGGGACACCUCAAGGCCGCACAUUUUUCAGGAAUAGGUUCUCCUUGUUGAUUUUUUUGCGGGGAGGGGGCAACGAUUGUGUAGAACUCAGCCACAUGAGAACCACUUAGUUGGGAGGCAGGUUUGCACCCGCUCUGUGCUUUUAUCUGUGUGAAUGUCAAAUGCUGGUUUGUUUGGGAAAGUGUGAGGCUUAAAUUAUAAUCUGUGCUAACAGUUAGUUUGGAAAUAAGUGCUAUCUCUAGGAAAAUCCCCGCAGCAGGGAUCAGAUUUAAAAGCGGUAACUCAGGAGGUCUGGGGACAAAACGUUUUCUACCAAUGUGGCAUGCAUUUGCAGUGUACAAAGUCCACAAAAUAAUCCUGUAGGAAAGGAAGGUAUUUGGAUAUAGUUGUUUGGUGUGGGAUCCUUGCUCAGUUGGUAGGUACUCUGUGUCUGGGAGGAAUGGGCUUCUCCUGCUCCACUCACCCCACUGUUUCCAGAACCUUCCAUUUGUUCCCAGUGGUGAGCCCAGUAUGGCUGUGAUUCCUUCCUGAUUACUCCCUGGAAGACAUCUAUCAGACACUGUCUUAUCUGUUUGUGAGGCAGCUCAGGCCCCAGAUUUAAGUCAUGGGUUCUGGCUACAAGUUAGAGUGUGAUUAAUAAUUGACUAAUGUAGCUUUUAUUUAUCACAGGCUAGCACAUUUCGCCAUUACUGAGUUAAUUUAUGUUAAGUGUAAGCUGUCGUUCAAUCUGUUUUUCAACUUUUUUUUUUUUUUUUUUUAAUCCUAAGUCUAUCUUUCACUUUUGAGAAACAAAAUCCUUACACAGGCACAGACUCACUUGGUGCCAAAAAGUUGAUUUCCUUUUCAGUGGCGCCAUGCAUCACCAGCCCUCCCAGCUGCAGUGUCAGCCUCUGACAGAAUGACAUGUGUCAUUUAUCAAAGGGGCCAGGCUGGGCCUUGGGAAACGCCGCGACAAAGCCUGAGAGGGUUCAUUUUGCAGCCCCCUCCGACCCUCUGCGAGCCCUUGCCAGGAAGCCCGUGUGCCGUCUUCACAGCCUUACUUUGCUUAGAAUCCGUGACCCCAUGCCCGCCUGCAAAAAUGACAGCCUCUGGGUUCCAGGUGAAACUUGCUCAGCAGGAGAGCUGGAGGAGGGAGACCGGCCGCCUGACCCCAGGUGGUUUACUUUCUGAGUGAGAUCUGAAACCACCAGAAAACCACCAAAAAGUGAAGGAGACGAACACACAGAAAACCAGCCAAGGAGACUGUACUGCUAAAAUAGAAAACAUUUGGCUAAAUAAAUGUUUUCUCCUCCUUGGAA